GAUGAACGCUAGCGGCAGGCUUAACACAUGCAAGUCGAGGGGUAUUGGUUUUCGGACCAAGAGACCGGCGCACGGGUGCGUAACGCGUAUGCAAUCUACCUUUUGCAGAGGGAUAGCCCAGAGAAAUUUGGAUUAAUACCUCAUAGUAUAGUACUUUGGCAUCAAGGAACUAUUAAAGUCACAACGGCAAAAGAUGAGCAUGCGUCCCAUUAGCUAGUUGGUAAGGUAACGGCUUACCAAGGCUACGAUGGGUAGGGUCCUGAGAGGGAGAUCCCCCACACUGGUACUGAGACACGGACCAGACUCCUACGGGAGCAGCAGUGAGGAAUAUUGGACAAUGGGCGCAAGCCUGAUCCAGCCAUGCCGCGUGCAGGAUGACGGUCCUAUGGAUUGUAAACUGCUUUUGUACAGGAAGAAACACUCCCUCGUGAGGGAGCUUGACGGUACUGUAAGAAUAAGGAUCGGCUAACUCCGUGCCAGCAGCCGCGGUAAG
rnacentral:rRNA from 1 species